UAAAAAAACCCUAAUCCCGAAACCCAUAUAUUUUUCUUCCUUUCGAACCCUAAAUCCUGGAAAACUCUAAACUCUCUAAUUCCUAACCUCUCCUCAUCUCCCUCUACCUUUAUUUUUGUCUCUCCCACUCCCACUCCCUCUCAUACCUACCCCCUACAACACCCUUUCCUCACUAUCGUCAUUGCCGCCUUUGCCAUUGCCACUUCCAGCUUCAACAACACCACUUACUACCUUUGUUGACAUAAGACCAAAUGGCAUAUGAGAUGAUGAAUUCAAAUCCCCUUCUUUUAAUUCCAUAUUCAAGGUACACGGUAGCAGAUGUCUCCUACUUGAUAGGAACGUUCUAUUCCCUCGAUGAAUAGGUGAUUGGCUGCAGUUAUUAGUUGCGGGUUUCUACUAAAUUUAUGGUCCAUUUUUUGCCUUUGACCUUGGUUUUAGGUUUUGGAGGUAGUUUCAAGCAUCUUGGUGUUGGGAUUACUAAUAAGUGUGAGAGUAGCAGAAAUUGAAAGGGUAAGAAGUGUGGAGUAUCAAACUAUAAAUUGCCAGAAACACAAUGCAGUGCUAACAAACUUUGGAGGAAAUGGUGAUGGAGAAAAGAUGAACACUAAGGCCUUUAACUCUAUAAUUGAUCAUCUCAAUAAGUUUGCUUCAAAUGGAGGAGCAGAGCUCAUUGUGCCUCCUAGGAAAUGGUUGACUUAGUGCUUUGAUCUCACAAGCCAUUUCACUCUAAUAUCCUAAUCUACUAUUGCAUUGUAUUCACAUUUAUGAGUCUAUUAUAAUGCACUUGUAACUCAUAAUGUGUUCCUCCAUUUCUUAAAUUAGUUUUCUCAUCCUUUUGAUGAUUACUUAUUGACAGAAACUUAAAAAAGUUUAUGUAAUUAAAUGAUUGAUCAUGAUAGAAAUCAUUCCUCUA